rnacentral:rRNA from 1 species
AAUGAACGUUGGCGGCGUGGAUUAGGCAUGCAAGUCGAGCGAGUCUACUUAUAGCAAUAUGAGUAAGUCGAGCGGCGUAAGGGGCAGUAAUACCUGGGAACGUACCCUGAGGUCGGGGAUAGCUGCUGGAAACGGCGAGCAAUACCCGAUGAUCUUGGAAAAGCAAAGGCUUGCCGCCUUAGGAGCGGCCCAGGCGAUAUUAGCUAGUUGGUGGGGUAAUGGCCUACCAAGGCAUAGAUGUCUAGCGGGUGUGAGAGCAUGGCCCCCACCACUGGGACUGAGAUACUGCCCAGACACCUACGGGUGGCUGCAGUCGAGGAUCUUCGUCAAUGGGCGAAAGCCUGAACGAGCGACGCCGCGUGCGGGAUGAAGGCCCUUGGGUUGUAAACCGCUGUCAGGGGGGAUGAAACCGUAAGGUUGACAGAGCCCCAGAGGAAGCACGGGCUAAGUUCGUGCCAGCAGCCGCGGUAAU